AGCGAACGCUGGCGGCAGGCUUAACACAUGCAAGUCGAGCGGGCGUAGCAAUACGUCAGCGGCAGACGGGUGAGUAACGCGUGGGAACGUACCUUUGGUUCGGAACAACCCAGGGAAACUUGGGCUAAUACCGGAUAAGCCCUUACGGGGAAAGAUUUAUCGCCGAAAGAUACGGCCGCGUCUGAUUAGCUAGUUGGUGAGGUAACGGCUC
rnacentral:rRNA from 1 species